GACGAACGCUGGCGGCGUGCUUAACACAUGCAAGUCGAACGAUGACGCCUAGCUUGCUAGGUGGAUUAGUGGCGAACGGGUGAGUAAUACGUGAGUAACCUACCUUUCACUCUGGGAUAAGCCUGGGAAACUGGGUCUAAUACCGGAUACGACCAAUCUCCGCAUGGGGUGUUGGUGGAAAGCGUUAUGUAGUGGUUAUAGAUUGGCUCACGGCCUAUCAGCUUGUUGGUGAGGUAACGGCUCACCAAGGCGACGACGGGUAGCCGGCCUGAGAGGGUGACCUGCCACACUGGGACUGAGACACGGCCCAGACUACUACGGGAGGCAGCAGUGGGGAAUAGUGCACAAUGGGCUCAAGCCUGAUGCAGCGACGCCGCGUGAGGGAUGACGGCCAUCGGGUUGUAAACCACUGUUAGCAGGGAAGAAGAGAAAUUGACGGUACCUGCAGAGAAAGCGCCGGCUAACUACGUG
rnacentral:rRNA from 1 species